rnacentral:rRNA from 1 species
CCCUUAGAUGUCCUGGGCCGCACGCGCGCUACACUGAACGGAUCAGCGCGUUUUCCCUUCCCGAGAGGGACGGGUAACCUGCUGAACCCCGUUCGUGGUAGGGAUCGGGGCUUGCAAUUAUUCCCCGUGAACCAGGAAUGCCCAGUAAGUGCAAGUCAUAAGCUUGCGUUGAUUACGUCCCUGCCCUUUGUACACACCGCCCGUCGCUACUACCGAUUGAACGUUUUAGUGAGGUACUCGGACUGAGCCUCAGAAGAUUCACGUCUUUUGUGCUGCUCGGGAAGAUUCCCAAACUUGAGCGUUUAGAGGAAGUAAANGUCGUNACA